ensembl:lncRNA
AGAGUUUGAGAAGCCUGAGAGCAAACCUCCAGCAUCCAGAUUAUCCUUCAAAGAUGGCAAAGGAAAGAAAAGCUCUAAAAUCACCCAAUGCAUUGGAACUAGUUCUAAAAUAUCUACACCUUAAUGAAACCAAUUAUUCUGGCUGACCUGGGAGACAGGGAGAGUGGUAGCCUACAGAAGUGUCUAAUGAAGUCAGCCACCAGUCCCUAAGAGAAGCUGGAGCAACAGGAAGUGUUCCCCCCACCCUCUCACCCCCGCCCCCGACUCCUGCACUCGCUCUUUCUCUGUCUUUCCAGGAGGCAUACACCAUUCGAGAACUCCAUAGAGAAGACUCUGCCAUCUUCAGCAGCCCCACCCCUUACAGUCCUCCCCCCAUUGGAGAACACGUACCGCUAACUUGGGCAUCUCCAGCCAGCCGACACGUCAUCAAGAUGGCUUUUGCAGACUUCCCAAGGCUGAGGGAGCCAUGGCCCUCAUUGCUGCGUUAUUGAUGGUGGUCUUAGAGAGAGAUGGAUCAUGUCAUCACUAUCCUCUCACAGCCUCAUCCGUUACAUUGACUUAGCUGUAUGUCCAUCAAGAAAGCCAGGUGCAUUGCAGUGGAGCUCUUCGGCAGAAUCUAUGUUUCGUGUGGAUAUUUACUGUUUCAUUGUUGAGCCCCCGGAUGUGUUGGGCGCUGGCAGGCGGCUGCAGAGAGGAAGGGUGGCCUGCCCAGGGACCCGGGAGUCGUGGGUCCCAGGCCCACCUCUUCGGGGCCACCUUGAGCUGGGAGGAAGUCGGAUUUUCCAUGACACACACGGACUUAAAUCCUUCAGCGAAUGAGAAAUCCCCUGGGUGAGCGCAAACUUCCACGUUGCCAGCCAGAAAAAGAAAGUUCCCAGGAUUUUCGUUCCCGAAGCUCUGAGCUAACAGCGUUUGCACAAAGCCGGGCAGGACGCAGAGGGCGCGGCGAGGGGCGGGCUCUCACCGGUGCCUGUUUUGCAUCGGUUUACAGAUGUGCUUAGGUUGCAUUUAGACGUUGUAUUUUUAAAAGUUAAAUUUUGGCGUUUUGCAUUUAAUCCCGACUAAAGCUCUUUGGUCUGUUGACUUAAAAGGUCUUCAGAUUGCCAAGACUUUGCAGCUUGGAUAACAUCUUUGGAAAGGUUAAACGAGUCAAUCGUCUAAAGCUUUAGUCGGCACAGGCACGUGAUGCUCUGCCCUGCUGGAAAAGCAGGGGGAACACCGAGAUCUCCCCGCAAACCCUGUGCUUCCGCCGGCCUCUGGGCUCGCGGGGAAUCCCGCCGCUGCAGGGAAGGCACUUCCAUUAGGCGUUUCACUUCGUCCGAGGGAGGCCGGACGACCUCUGUCGGUAUGGCCGCGGCCUUCCAAGAAAUUCGAGCAAGAUCGGGAGGAGGAGACGAGCAGCAGGCCUGGAGACCUGUCGGCAGGGGGCGCGCCGGCCCCCAGCAGAGACAAAGGCCAGACGCGCACCGCGCGGACGGGGGUCGGCCCUCGGGGUCUGGGGGAGUCAGAGGGGGCGCAGCAGGGCAAGAGGAGGGUCCCCUGCCGCCCCCGCCCAGCCUACAGCCGCGCAGCGUGCUCGCCCUUCUUGGGAGAGAGGAGCGGGAGCGUUGCUAAGAUGGUUCCCAUUUUCUGCGUCGUCGCAGGACUCUGUCCCCGUGUCCACAGGCUGCUCUCCUCCCCGCACCGGCACCCGCGUGGGUUCAAACGGUGGCGGGCGGCCCCGGGCCCUCGGACCUCCCCCGGCCGGCGUUCUCAUCCUCCUCUGCCCCCGCCCCCGCCCGGCCCGGCUCCGCGCGGUGACCUCAUUCCCACCCCUCCGAGCGAGUGGGGUGAGCCCGUGGCCGAGGCCGGAGAGCGGAGCUUCCCGCUGCCCCCAGGAACGUGCAGCACGGGCGGGACGCGCAGGCUGUUCGGUUUUGUUGUAAGAAACACCGUGUAUUUUUUUCUAGCACAGGCCACACUCCACCACACUCGAGUACAGAAUAUUAAUUUUUUUUUUACUGCGCUCUCACUUGCCGUCAAGGCUUUCUUCCUCCUUAGCAUCAGGUAAGGACACAGCCAGGCACGGCAGGCACGGAGCCGCCGCCUCUGUCUUCGCCCAGAUCGCAGCAGCCCGCUGCCUCGAUGGUCUGAGGCUGCUGUCAGAUGCGAGCGCGAGUUGGGUCAAAACGACUGGAAGCCCAGCCGAGUGAGGUGGGGGGAUCUGGUUCCCCUGCACAGAGGGAGUCCCCAGGUGGAAGCCAGCUUCCCUCCAAUAGGGCCGAGACGGGGGGAAGCGCUUCUGCCACGCGGCCACACCUGUGCCCACUGGGUGGCCCCCAGCAAAGCUGCAGUCUCAGACUCCUGGUCCCUUUCUCAUACUGCCCCAAACGCUGGGGGGAUUUAAUCCAAAUUUCACUUUCCCUGGCCACGCAGUCAGGUCUUUCCUAACAUUUAAAGGGUUAGAUGGGGGGAAAAUAAAAUCAAAACCAAGUUUUGGAAUUAAAUUUCCUCUGUAUCUUCAAUACGUUAUGACAGAAAUCCAGAAGGAGAAAAAAUAAUCAGGAGCAAACUUCUGUGGUGCUUUCCCACGUGCCCCAGUGAAGCCCGGCUUCCUCCUCCUCCCCACCAGAGCCGGGAAAGAUCUGAAUACUGCGAUUAUGACAUACUGCAGUGGAUACAUUUUCUUUUUUUAAGAUAAAAGUUUUAUUUCAGAGAGAAGCACAAAGCCCUCACUGUCAUGAACAAGCCUGGGCCUCGCCGGGACUCAAGGACCUUCCAGAAGGAAACAAAAGGCAUUAGCUCUUGAUUAAGAAAAGUCCGCAGUGCCCCAGCCCCUGGGCCUCCUGCCCCCAGCAUCUCCAUCCGCCCUGACUCCGGGCCCUGGGCUCUCGGUCACCCCUCCGGAGAGCUCCUCCAGUUCUCCAAGGGCAACAGCCCUGCUCUCUCCUUUUCAGGCCCCGUUACUCUUAUUAAAUCACCCCCAGGCCUUGAGCCUGCCCCCUCUGCCCUCUUAUCAACCCUCUGCAGAACUCCGGUGACCUCCUGGAUCCCCAUGUUCAGCCAUUCCGUCACCCUGCAAAGCCCCAGCCUUGACCUUAGUCCAUUCUUCCUUUGGCCAUCGCCAACAUGGAGUGACCCCAUUCAAACAUUGACUCAUUCAACACAUGUCGAUUGAGCGCCUGCCGACUGCUGAGUGCAGUGCUAAGCAGCGAGAGUCAACUGCCCUGUCUUGGGGGCUUCAUAGCUGUCCUUUCUCUAGUUCACCCUCAGCUCAAGUCACAAAACCAUGUUGACUGGGGCUCCUGUACACUGACGCUGCCCAGCUCCAGCGAGACUCACUGUGGCGGGACGAGCCCUUCCUUCCUCACCUCGGGCUCUGCGGUCUAACAGACACCACUUCUUCCCAGUUUUCUCCAGGCUACUGGAAUCUCCAGUCCUGGGGGAGUGAGGC